rnacentral:tRNA from 2 species
GGCUAUGUAGCUCAGCUGGUUAGAGCACGGCACUCAUAACGCCGGGGUCGGUGGUUCAAGUCCACCCAUAGCCACCA